rnacentral:rRNA from 1 species
GGCUACACAUGCAAGUCGAGCGGCAGCGGGAAAGUAGCUUGCUACUUUUGCCGGCGAGCGGCGGACGGGUGAGUAAUGCCUGGGAAAUUGCCCAGGCGAGGGGGAUAACAUUUUGAAACGAUGGCUAAUACCGCAUACGCCCUACGGGGGAAAGCAGGGGACCUUCGGGCCUUGCGCGAUUGGAUGUGCCCAGGUGGGAUUAUCGAGUUGGUGAGGUAAUGUCUCACCAAGGCGACCAUCCCUAGCUGGUCUGACAGGAUGAUCACCCACACUGGAACUGAGAAACGGUCCCGACUCCUACGGGAGGGCGCAGUGGGGAAUAUUGCACAAUGGGGGAAACCCUGAUGCAGCCAUGCCGCGUGUGUGAAGAAGGCCUUCGGGUUGUAAAGCACUUUCAGCGAGGAGGAAAGGUUGAUGCCUAAUACGUAUCAACUGUGACGUUACUCGCAGAAGAAGCACCGGCUAACUCCGUGCCAGCAGCCGCGGUAAUACGGAGGGUGCAAGCGUUCGCGUUGCAUCA